UAAGCGCUGGAAACGGCGUCUAAUACUGGAUAUGAGACGUGAUCGCAUGGUCGUGUUUGGAAAGAUUUUUCGGUCUGGGAUGGGCUCGCGGCCUAUCAGCUUGUUGGUGAGGUAAUGGCUCACCAAGGCGUCGACGGGUAGCCGGCCUGAGAGGGUGACCGGCCACACUGGGACUGAGACACGGCCCAGACUCCUACGGGAGGCAGCAGUGGGGAAUAUUGCACAAUGGGCGGAAGCCUGAUGCAGCAACGCCGCGUGAGGGAUGACGGCCUUCGGGUUGUAAACCUCUUUUAGCAGGGAAGAAGCGAAAGUGACGGUACCUGCAGAAAAAGCGCCGGCUAACUACGUGCCAGCAGCCGCGGUAAUACGUAGGGCGCAAGCGUUAUCCGGAAUUAUUGGGCGUAAAGAGCUCGUAGGCGGUUUGUCGCGUCUGCUGUGAAAUCCCGAGGCUCAACCUCGGGCCUGCAGUGGGUACGGGCAGACUAGAGUGCGGUAGGGGAGAUUGGAAUUCCUGGUGUAGCGGUGGAAUGCGCAGAUAUCAGGAGGAACACCGAUGGCGAAGGCAGAUCUCUGGGCCGUAACUGACGCUGAGGAGCGAAAGGGUGGGGAGCAAACAGGCUUAGAUACCCUGGUAGUCCACCCCGUAAACGUUGGGAACUAGUUGUGGGGACCAUUCCACGGUUUCCGUGACGCAGCUAACGCAUUAAGUUCCCCGCCUGGGGAGUACGGCCGCAAGGCUAAAACUCAAAGGAAUUGACGGGGACCCGCAC
rnacentral:rRNA from 1 species